GGAGAGAUCUAAAACAUGCAGGACUAGGGUAUUCCAGGAGAGAGUUGGGAAACAGCCUUCAUAAAAUGUAGUUUAGCAACUGAGGACUAAUAUUUUUUUUCUGCUUACUGAGAGGAAGUAUUUUGGUAGAUUCAAUUAAAUUCUGUGUGUGGUUGUGGUCGGGUCAUCCUGGCUACCUCUCUCCAGCUCACCACCUGCAGCUCCACUCACCUGAGGCUCAUCGGCAGUCAACCCACUCUGUUAAAAACCCCGGCUCUACAGUCCUUCCCUGCCAGUUCUGUACCUCAGCCGUGUUUGGAGUCACUGCCUUUCUGUCUGGAGAGAGCCCAACUUUUUUUGCAACUUUUCCACGCCAAAUCUAAGAACCCCCGCUCCAUCCUGCCCGCUCGCCUUUCACCCAGUCCUGUAUUUAAAAAAAAAACCUGAGUUACCGUUCAUUUGCUUCCUUGUCUGCUUUUGGAUCCAUUAAACUGAAACUUAACCUAAGUUGAUCACAAAUAAAAUAAAGUUUCCUUUAUUUUUAGAAUUUCACUUUAGAACAGGCUUGUAAUUUCACAUACAAUACAUUAAAACGUAUUUUAUGUAAUUUAUCUUGAUUUACAUUUAUUGUGGGCUUGUGUAUUGUUACCUAUUGUUAGGAGUAGUAUCCGCCAGGUG